rnacentral:lncRNA from 1 species
AAGACUUCUAGUUUCCUCCCAGCUCAAUGAAAGCAAAGAAUGCUUUCUUCUUAAGUUUUAUUAGUGUUUCUCAGUAUUUCUUUAACCUUCCGUGGAUGAACUGCCUGAUACACUGGAAGUGCACAAAUAGAUUUAAAAGUUUCACUUAUGAGGGGAAGAUUAACAUUCAACUAAAGGAUACUCUGAAUGAUCAUUCUACUUGUGCAUCUGACAGGGUGAAGUUCAACAACAUAGUACUCAAGGAUCACAUUUUUGCUAUGACCUUCACUGCAAUGUUGAAUGGAAGUGGCAAGAAAGGAUAUCCUUGUUGUGUUCCUGAUCUCAGGAGAAAGGCAUUCAGUUUCUUACCAGCAAUGGGACAUGGAACAGGAGGAGGAACAGCAGGCAAGAACCUGGGAGCAGUUCUACAGAGCAGGAGGAGGCUUCCAUUGCAACUUCUACAGAAAGUUCAGGAAAAUAACGACUUUCAACAUUAUAGAAUUUCAAGUUAGAAGUGAUCAUUUUCAACUGAUGAAUCUCAUUGAGGAAGAUGAGGCAUCAAGAGGUAGAAGACUAACUCAGCAGGUGGUACAGCUUAGGUUAGAGAGCAGGUCUGCCCAACUCCUGAGCAAACUAGUUUGUGACAUUAAUGUUCCCAAUCUCAUCUCUUUUAAUAGUAUCUAAUAUUCCAAAGCUAGGGAACCUCGGAUUUUACCUAUGCAUCAUAGAGUACUAGUUACCAUAUGGAGAUGAUAUAAAUGGAAAGAUAUCUUGCUCUACAGGUAGUCUAGAGGAUUAGAGUCUUUGGGCCAGUACAUCUCCCCUGGUACUGCUGGACUACAAUUUCUAUGACAUCUGUACUUUGUUACUUUCUGUGUCUCUGCAAAAGUGUCUUCUGGAUUCUUUUUAAGUCGAAUCUCAAACUGGACCAAAGAUAUUAGAUGUUUGUUUAGGCAUGGGAUAGAUUAUGGAGAAAUAGGAACACUUUUACACUGUUGGUGGGACUGUAAACUAGUUCAGCCAUUGUGGAAGUCAGUGUGGCAAUUCCUCAGGGAUCUAGAACUAGAAAUACCAUUUGACCCAGCCAUCUCAUUACUGGGUAUAUACCCAAAGGAUUAUAAAUCAUGCUGCUAUAAAGACACCUGCACAUGUAUGUUUAUUGUGGCACAAUUCACAAUAGCAAAAACUUGGAACCAACCCAAAUGUCCAACAAUGAUAGACUGGAUUAAGAAAAUGUGGCGCAUAUACACCAUGGAAUACUAUGCAGCCAUAAAAAAUGAUGAGUUCAUGUCUUUUGUAGGAACAUGGAUGAAGCUGGAAACCAUCAUUCUCAGCAAACUAUUGCAAGGACAAAAAAACCAAACACUGCAUGUUCUCACUCAUAGGUGGGAAUUGGACAAUGAGAACACAUGGACACAGGAAGGGGAACAUCACACACUGAGGACUGUUGUGGGGUGGGGGUCUGGGGGAGGGAUAGCAUUAGGAGAUAUACCUAAUGUAAAUGAGGAGUUAAUGGGUGCAGCACACCAACAUGGCACAUGUAUACAUAUGUAACAAACCUGUACGUUGUGCACAUGUACCCUAAAACUUAAAGUACAAUAAUAAUAGUAAAAAAAAAGAAUUCAAACAUUACUAAAAAUCUAAAGCAUAAAAAUAAGAGUGGGGUUACAUGCUGUAAAUCUAAUUUUAGUAUUUUGAGCUGUAUUAAAGAAAUUCUGUGUAGUUUGUACUUUUGAAUGGAAUCUCCUCUAUAUGAUAGGGUUUUCCUUCAGUUGCUAGUGCAAAGAGGGAAAAGGGGGAGGGGAGAAUUUUUGAGAAGUUUUUGCAUGUAAAAACUAGCAUAUAGAGGUUAGAAUAUGAUCCUAGAAGCAAAAGAAGCACUUUUAUUUAUUUAACACAAUUUUCAAAAUAAGUAUUGCCCUUCAAAAUCUUCCUUGAUGAAAACUAUUCAAAUACUAAGGACAUUUUCUAAUUAACUUGUCACUGAUCAUCUUGUUUCAAAUAUCUUGAAACUAAAUCUUUAAGAGAACUGUUGAAUCAAAGAUUGUAAGGAAAAAUUUUUGUACCCUUAAUAAAAUAUGCACAUCAAAAGGAAGAUAAGGUCAUUCUGCUUGCCUAGAUUGUUAUAUUCUACACAAUGCUAAUCAGAAAAAUUAUGUUGCAGCGGUUAGUCCAGUCAGGUAUAACUUUCUCCACAUGAGGAUAUAAAUGUCUAAACCUCUGUCCCACUAUCAAAGAGCACAUUAGCACUUUUACAAAUAAUUAGAAACAUUUUCAACUGAAUAAAGGGAAGUUUUUAGCAACUUGGGAAAUUUUCACUAGUCUUUCUGUUUACACUGUGGUAAUGAUAAUUCAUCUCUUAGCCAUCAGUAUCUUGAGGAUGUUCAAUAACAUUCCUGUGAAUUCUCCUCAGAGAAGUUUUUUUAAAUAAACAGCAUAGCGUAACUGUCUUAGUCCUUGCUGAUUUGAAUAACAAGUUGUAUGUGGCUAUCUGUGUGUUUGUAUGCACAGAUAUAUCUGUGUAAUACUUAAAAACCUUUUGGCCUAGGUGGGGCUUGGUUCUCUGAGUCUGGCUAGUUUGUUUUCUCGGUUGCACGUAUUGUGUUGAAAACAAGCAUGCUCAGCUGAUGAGGCAGUAAAAAUGGCAGAUUCUUUCUGCUAGGCAUUUUUAUUUUUAUUUUUUUGAUUUUUCAUUGCAAGGGACCAUUUUGACUUUCUAGCCUUGAUACUGAAUAGAUCAUUUUGAAAACUGUAGACUUCAUUUACAUAGAAUCAGAGGUGAUGGGUGCAGGAGUAACUGCUGCAUUAUAGACUGAGUUAUACUAGGUAACAUGUAAAAUAGUGUGGUUAUGAUUAGCCUGGCAGUAUAAUUAUAUCCAUGUCACUGUGUUUCUUGGAGUAUUAAUGACAUUUUGUGUAAAGCAGUUCUUUAUUGGCUGGAUUUCCAGGAGUACCCACAAGACACUUAUAGUUUUGGUCAUUGCCAACAAUAUGCAAGUAGUGCCACUCAGACAUUCUGGUAAUCGAAAAUGUCCCUUCGUAUUUCUAAAUACUCCAAAGAGGAAUAGGUAACACCCCAGGUUGUGGACUACUAAAUAAAAGAUUUCAUAAAGUUCACACUAAUAAAAUUUUCCAAGUGAACCCUUGUUUUACUCUUAGAUCUGGUUUUACACUUAGAUCUUCUAAAGCCCAUCCUGAAAUGCUACUUUUUAAAUACUACCUAAAAUCUGGUACAGCUCUGCUCUGUAAGAUUUCACAAAGGGCAACAUCAAAAUGAGGUUUGGUUUUUUUCUCAGUGCUAGUCCCAUCUUGGGUUCACUCUCUCCUGCCACAUACUUUGGGUAAAAAUUUAGAGUGAUUUCUCUGAAAGAUAAUACAUUGCCCCUUUUGUGUUUUCUUUUGGAGGCUCUUCCACUCUAUUUGCUGCUUUCCAACUCAUGGUUUAAGGAUCUAAUCUCCAACAGACUAUGGAAAUGGUGUCAGACAAAAAGCAAAUUCGAGUGAUUUUCUUAUUCAAUUUAAAAAUGGGUCAUAAAGCAGCAGAGACAACUCGCAAUAUCAACAACGCAUUUGGCCAAGGAACUGCUAACAAAUGUACAGUGGUAGCUCAAGAAGUUUUGCAGAGGAGACGAGAGCCUUGAAGAUGAGGAGCAUAGUGACCAGCCAUCAGAAGUUAACAACUGCCAACUGAGAGCAAUUAUUGAAGCUGAUCCUCUUACAACCACACAAGAAGUUGCCAAAGAGCUUGACGUCGACCAUUCCAGGGUCGCUUGGCAUUUGAAGCAAAUUGGAAAGGUGAAAAAGCUCAAUAAGUGGGUGCUUCAUGAGCUGAGUGAAAAUUUAAAAAAAUCAUCAUUUUGAAGUGUUGUCUUCCCUUAUUCUAUGCAACAACGAUGGACCAUGUCUUGAUAGGAUUGUGACGUGUGACGAAAAGUGGGUUUUAUAUGACAACCAGUGAUGACCAGCUCUGUGGCUGGACCGGGAAGAAGCUCCAAAGCACUUCCCAAAUCCAAACUUGCACCAAAAAGAAGGUCAUGGUCACUGGUAGUCUGCUGAUGGUCUGAUCCGCUACAGCUUUCUGAAUCCUGGUGAAACCAUUAUAUCUGAGGACUAUGCUCAGCAAAUCUAUGAGAUGCACCAAAAACUGCCACACCUGCAACUGGCAUUGGUCAAUAGAAAGGGCCCAAUUCUUCUCCAUGACAACGCCCAACCACACGUCGCACAACCAAUGCUUCAAAAGUUCAAUGCAUUGGGCUACCAAGUUUUGGCUCAUCCUUCAUAUUCACCUGACCUCUCAUCAACAGACUACCACUUCUUCAAGCAUCUCCACAACUUUUUGCAGGUGUUGGGUUACAUCCAGAUGGAAAGCAAACAAAAAUUCUCACCCUCAUGGAUCUCACAUUCUACAGGAAGGAAAGAGAAGAUAAACAAUAAGAACACUCAUUAUUUGGCUCUCUGUUUGUCUGUUAUUGGUGUAUAAGAAUGCUUGUGAUUUUUGCACAUUGAUUUUGUAUCCUAAGACUUUGUUGAAGUUGCUUAUCAGCUUAAGGAGAUUUUGGGCUGCGACGAUGGGGUUUUCUAGAUAUACAAUCAUGUCAUCUGCAAACAGGGACAAUUUGACUUCCUCCCAUUCACAAUUGCUUCAAAGAGAAUAAAAUACCUAGGAAUCCAACUUACAAUGGAUGUGAAGGACCUCUUCAAGAAGAACUACAAACCACUGCUCAAUGAAAUAAAAGGGGACACAAACAAACGGAAGAACAUUCCAUGCUCAUGGAUAGGAAUAAUCAAUAUCAUGAAAAUGGCCAUACUGCCAGAGGUAAUUUAUAGAUUCAAUGCCAUCCCCAUCAAGCUACCAAUGACUUUCUUCACAGAAUUGGAAAAAACUACUUUAAAGUUCAUAUGGAACCAAAAAAGAGCUCGCAUUGCUGAGUCAAUCCUAAGCCAAAAGAACAAAGCUGGAGGCAUCACACUACCUGACUUCAAACUAUACUACAAGACUACAGUAACCAAAACAGCAUGGUACUGGUACCAAAACAGAGAUAUCGACCAAUGGAACAGAACAGAGCCCUCAGAAAUAAUACCACACAUCUACAACUAUCUGAUCUUUGACAAACCUGACAAAAACAAGAAAUGGGGAAAGGAUACCCUAUUUAACAAAUGGUGCUGGGAAAACUGGCUAGCCAUAUGUAGAAAGCUGAAACUGGAUCCCUUCCUUACACCUUAUACAAAAAUUAAUUCAAGAUGGAUUAAAGACUUAAAUAUGAGACCUAAAACCAUAAAAACCCCAGAAGAAGACCUAGGCAUUACCAUUCAGGACAUAGGCAUGGGCAAGGACUUCAUGUCUAAAACACCAAAAGCAAUGGCAACAAAAGCCAAAAUUGACAAAUGGGAUCUAAUUAAACUAAAGAGCUUCUGCACAGCAAAGGGAACUACCAUCAGAGUGAACAGGCAACCUACAGAAUGGGAGAAAAUUUUUGCAGUCUACUCAUCUGAUAAAGUGCUAAUAUCCAGAAUCUACAAAGAACUCAUACAAAUUUACAAGAAAAAAACAAACAACCCCAGUAAAAAGUGGGUGAAGGAUAUGAACAGACACUUCUCAAAAGAAGACAUUUAUGCAGCCAACAGACACAGGAAAAAAUGCUCACCAUCACUGGCCAUCAGAGAAAUGCAAAUCAAAACCACAAUGAGAUAUCAUCUCACACCAGUUAGAAUAGCGACCAUUAAAAAGUCAGGAAACAACAGGUGCUGGAGAGGAUGUAGAAAAAUAGGAACACUUUUACACUGUUGGUGGGACUGUAAACUAGUUCAGCCAUUGUGGAAGUCAGUGUGGCGAUUCCUCAGGGAUCUAGAACUAGAAAUACCAUUUGACCCAGCCAUCCCAUUACUGGGUAUAUACCCAAAGGAUUACAAAACAUGCUGCUAUAAAGACACAUGCACACAUAUGUUUAUUGCGGCACUAUUCACAAUAGCAAAGACUUGGAACCAAGCCAAAU